UACGAAGGGGGCUAGCGUUGCUCGGAAUCACUGGGCGUAAAGGGUGCGUAGGCGGGUUUUUAAGUCAGAGGUGAAAUCCUGGAGCUCAACUCCAGAACUGCCUUUGAUACUGAAAGUCUUGAGUAUGGGAGAGGUGAGUGGAACUGCGAGUGUAGAGGUGAAAUUCGUAGAUAUUCGCAAGAACACCAGUGGCGAAGGCGGCUCACUGGCCCAUA
rnacentral:rRNA from 1 species